UGAGGAAUAUUGGUCAAUGGCCGAAAGGCUGAACCAGCCAUCCCGCGUGCAGGAUGACGGCCCUAUGGGUUGUAAACUGCUUUUCUACUUGAAGAAACCUGAUUACGUGUAAUCAGUUGCCGGUAAAGUAGGAAUAAGCAUCGGCUAACUCCGUGCCAGCAGCCGCGGUAAUACGGAGGAUGCAAGCGUUAUCCGGAUUCAUUGGGUUUAAAGGGUGCGCAGGCGGGCUUGUAAGUCAGUGGUGAAAUGCUGCCGCUUAACGGUAGAAUUGCCAUUGAUACUGCAGGUCUUGAAUAUGGUUGAGGUAGGCGGAAUGUGUUGUGUAGCGGUGAAAUGCAUAGAUAUGACACAGAACACCGAUUGCGAAGGCAGCUUACUAAGCCAUAAUUGACGCUGAGGCACGAAAGCGUGGGGAGCGAACAG
rnacentral:rRNA from 1 species